GAAAAUAUUAGCAACCAAAUGUACUCUAAAAGAAAAACUAACAUAUUUAAAAUGCUCCAAUGAACCUCUUACAUGUGGAAGGGGUAUGCCUUAAAAUCAUCGACUCUGUUGUAAGAACCGUGCGAGUUGGGUCGGAUUGAAUACACCGGGAAUAGGGGCUCCAUCUAACUUCAACAAAUGGGAAACUUCUACGCAUCUUUGGUAACUCUAUUCUUCGUUCUCGACUUUCUUUGUGGCUCACUUCCCAAUUUUUUGACUCGAAGAUGGCUUCUGAUUUGUUAAUGUGGCUAAUAGAGGCACAACUUCGGCUCGAGCUGAAUUGUUAUAAACUCGUGAGAUAAAAUGAUAAAUACCCAGCUAAGAAGGUAUUAUUGAAAGUCAAC
rnacentral:lncRNA from 1 species